CUCAUUUAAUACCAAUUUUAAUAUUAUUAUAUUCUAUUAAUUAAUAGGCUAGCAACUACUGUAGACAAAAAUCUACAAAUUCUAUACAACUCAUUAGAAAUACAUCAAGGAGUAAAAAAAAACAAAAGAUCACAGAUAAUAUCGGAAGUCGUCAGCAAAGUCACCAAUGGCAGAUGGAUCAAAUUCACCACGAGCACAUCGCUCAUCUCGCUUUUUGUUCACGUAACGAAGUGAAAAGAACAUGACAACGUAGGCGAGUCCGCCAACUAUAACACAGCCUAAUGUGAAAGCAUUACCCAAAAUGUAUUUUGGAGCAUUUUUAGACCGAUAAAUCUGACCAGCAACAAUGCCCGAACUGUUCGCAAGAGUCUGCUGAAUUCCUAUCGCAGUUGCUCUUUUGUAAUGACCCGCAACGUUAUUGUUCAACCACCCGAGAUUUAAACCAGGACCGAUGUAACAUCCUAUGGCAAUAAUAUAAGUUGCAGUAUACUUUGCAGCAUUAGAAUCGCUUGCUAACAUUAUUAUAUAUCCAACUGCAACAACGGUUGAAGCUGAAAUUAAAUAUACAGCUCGUAGCUGAGUGCGAUCAGAGAGCCAUGCAACAAAUAAAAAUGAUAUCACACCAGCAAUAUAUACUGGAAUAGUCAUAUAGUUAGUUUGAAGGCCUACAAAACCAAGACCCUUAAUAAUGACAGGCAAGAAAGAUGAAAAUCCAUACAACACCAUAUCGGCACAAAAUUGAGACGUAGCAGAAACGUAAACUUUGGGAUCCUUAAAGGCCUUCCUAACUUCUGACCAUUCAAAAUGUUGCUCACCAUGAUAACGGGCGUUAAUAUCUCUACGAAUAAUAGCAACCUCCCUUUCUUCACGGGUAAGGAACCAAGCAUUUUCCAUCUUAUCCGGAAGAGCAAAUAAACAAAGUGGAACACCAAUAAAGGAAACGAGACCUUCUACGAUGUAUAUCCAUUGCCAACCUUCUUUGUUACCAGCAUGAACUUGCUCAAGAGCAUAAGCAAAAAGACCUCCAAAAGCACCUGCUAAACCAGCCGAAGCAAACAAGUAGGAAAGACGCUGGCAUUGUUCUUUGCGGGUGUAAUGAGUUGUCAGAUACAAGUUAAGCGCAGGAAAUAAGCAACCUUCCAACAAACCAAGAAUUAAGCGUGUAGCAAUCAAACCUCCAUAGCUUGACAUAAAUCCAGAAAACAGAACAGUCAUGCUCCAUGCAAAAGAUAUAAAUGCCAACAUCCGCGAGGCUUUAAUUCGUUUAACCAAAACGACACUAGGAGUCUCAACCAAAAUAUACAAUACAUAAAAAAUACUAACAGCAACAUUUAAACGUUCUCCAUAAAGACUCAAUGCCUCAGUCAUACCAGCAACAGCAGCAUUACCAAUAUUUGAGCGAUCCAAAAAUGCCAUUAAAUAAAGGAACCCAAUAAUGGGACUGAUUACAAGGUCCAUUUUCAAAAGUAGUUUCUUUUCAACCUUUGGGUCGAUUUUUAACGAGGCUGUAUCUCCAUAAUCCACAUCUGGCGACGCUGUAUUCUGGAGUUUCUCCUUAUUUAUUUCUGAAGCAUAAAUGCUAUGCUCAUCGUCUUUUGAGAUUUUAUAUUCCGAUUGAUCUGACAUUUUGCCAAACUUUGGUCUAUUAGAAUAUUAUGCGAAACAGGAGAGCAAACCGCUUCUUUAUAUUCGCAUUUCAGUCAACCAUACAGAUCCAUAUCUAAUUUCCUAAUAGUUACAAAAGAGGGGGUUUUUUAUCAUUGAUAAAC
rnacentral:lncRNA from 1 species